GAGGUGCCCGCCGCCUAGCUUACGAGGAAGCUACCGAGGUAGGGUUUCAAAUUAAUGGUGAGCUUGCGAAUGAUGAGAGGUGUAGUUUAUCUUAAACCACUCUGCUGCAAAUACUAACUGGAAGAGAAAGUUUGUACAGAUUGAUGGGCAAACGCCGUUGUUUCUUUGUCAGCCUUCAAUCUAUUCUCUCUUCGCCAAUCCAGGGUAGGUGAAACUGAAUGUUCCAAAGGCGAGGCUGAAAUAUGAAGCUCCGAUCUGGUAGCCUUCCCUUUUUGUGGGAACAAAGUCCGUGGUGAAGUUUACACUAUUAAUUCUCAUAUGGAAGAACCAAGCAGAAGUUGAUGCAGCGGAUGCUUCUUGGAGUAAACUUCGGUUGUUCUCAAUCAGAACUUCAAAUUUCUUCAGGUGAAUCAGAACAGUUACUGAGUCGUGACCUUAUUAAGAUUCAUUGCGACUAUGAAGAGAAUGUCACUGGUGGCUUCUCGGAAAUCAGUCCAAGUGAAGAAAAAGGCCAUGAUCUAUCUGUGUGGACAAUUUCCGCAAACUGAGUGUUAAACAAAUUGAUGUGGCUAGAUCAACGGGAAACCCUAGCAGUCAUGGAAAGCAAACAUCAUGGUUGAGUUUCCUGAACUGUCCAAUGAUAAUGAGGAGUCUAGACUUCGUAUGGAUGAAAAUGUGGACAGCAUAUCUGGGAAGCCUUUUGAUACAACUAUGUGGUUAAUCUACUAAUUUAAAUUCUCCAGAACUUAUUUGUUUCCAUGGACAAUAAAUUUUAUUGUCAUGCUAUUUUUAAUUCAGGAACUUGGUUUCGAUUGUAAACAAUUAUGUAUCCUGAAAUAUGUGAUGCUCAACAAGCUGCCAAGGAGCUAUCUGCAACUGUUUAUCUGUAUCUCUUUGAAGAAACAACUAAGCUACAUGAUGAUGACAUGAAGGACCUUUUGAGUCUGCUCACGGUUUCUGAACUCCUUGACAUUGUACACUUAAAAAGGUUUUUUUUUAUGUCUACUUCCUUUUGUUCUAUGGCACUAUAGUAUUCCUGUACCCUUUAAAAGCAUUCCUUGUGAUCCUUGGUGUAGUGUUUCAGGCUUCGGAUGCAAUUAUUAUAAAGCUAGUGUCAUGUUCCGUUGGCCAAAUUAUUUGUCAAUGUGAUCAUCUAACAAUUCAUUGGAAUUUCUAGCUUAAGUUAUUUUCUUUAUCACUU